rnacentral:rRNA from 1 species
GGACCUGACUGCUAUCGGAUUGAUACUAAGCCAUGCGAGUCAUUGUAGCAAUACAAGGCAGACGGCUCAGUAACGCGUAGUCAACCUACCCUAUGGACGGGGAUAACCUCGGGAAACUGAGAAUAAUACCCGAUAGAACAUUAUACCUGGAAUGGUUUAUGUUUCAAAUAAUUUAUUGCCGUAGGAUGGGACUGCGGCCUAUCAGUUUGUUGGUGAGGUAAUGGCCCACCAAGACUAUUACAGGUACGGGCUCUGAGAGGAGUAGCCCGGAGAUGGGUACUGAGACACGGACCCAGGCCCUAUGGGGCGCAGCAGGCGAGAAAACUUUGCAAUGUGCGAAAGCACGACAAGGUUAAUCCGAGUGGUUUCUGCUAAAGGAACCUUUUGUCAGUCCUAGAAACACUGAUGAAUAAGGGGUGGGCAAGUUCUGGUGU